rnacentral:lncRNA from 1 species
AAUGGGAGGUAUGGCGGCCCAUGAGGCUGAUUUCGUUUUAUUCUUUUUAUUUUCUGUUUUCUUUUCUUCUUUUUUUUCUUUAUUUUCAAACCCAAUUUGAGUUCAAGUUUAAAUUCAAACUUGUGGCAAAUUCACUUUCAGAUUAAUAGUAAAAUUUGGACAUACCUAAGAGUGUGAUGAAUUUAUAACUUUGUUUUGUUUUGUAUAAUAUUUCUUUCUCUCUUUCCUAUUUCCAAUUCAAACCAAGCCAAGUUUUAAAUUCUAGAUUUCAAAUUUAUGCAUAAGUUAAACUUUCACAUGAUAAUUACUACAUAGUGUUUCUUCAUUUAUUUUAUUAUGAGUAUUUACCUUUAAAAAGGGUGAAUUAUAAAGUUUUAAUUAUUUAUCAAUGGUAUUUUGCUCAGAUUUCUUCUAUCAAUCCCAAAUUCAGAAUUUGGGUGUUACAAAUCCUACCCCCUUAAAAAUAAUCUCGUCCUCGAGAUUUGUAAGAAAAGGGAUGUAUACUCAUAUUGUUCUCGGAACAUUUGCACAAACAAAGAAAUCUCAGCAUGAGGUAUAAUUCUUUAACAAAACAUAGGGUCAAUAGACCUUAUUGUUCUUUCUAAAAUAAUAUCAUAUCAUCUACUAACUAAAGUAACACCUAGAUCUUACAAAUCAUCAUAAUCUAUAUUUAUGUAGCUUGGUGAAGCUGGUGGUGGUGGUGGUGGAGGUUGUUGUUGUUGUCUCUCCACCCGUGCUUGCUUUAUUUCUUGGCGGGCCUGACGUAUUUCCUCGCGUUGUUGUCUUAUCUGAUUUUGCAUCUCGGUCACCAGGUCUGUUAAUUGUUGUAUUACCAGUCUUUGGGUAGCAACCACUUGAUUGAUUUCAACAGGUGGAGGAUUUGGAGGAUUCAUUUUCUGUUUGUUGUUGACCAUGAAAGUUAGAGGCAUAUGGUAAUAGUUUUGCAAAGGAAAUUAUUCAAUAAGCGGAAUGAAUAAGCUAGUAGCUGGUUAUACUCUAAAGAUUCUUUGGUAGGGCUAAAUCUUUGUUUUAUGUCCAGAUUGGGGUAACCAAUCGUAUAAGGUGAAUAUCCAAGGGUAAGAUAGAAUCUGUCAAGAAGAGAGAUAUAUAUGGGUGAGAUAGACUACAAGAUGUAGGUUACAAGUUUGUUUUAGGUGGGGGUUGAUAGACUAUGCAAUCCAUCAUUACUCUAUUGGUUGGGUUGUUAUGUAACUUGUUAUAUAGGUCAAGUUGUUGGGUAUGGCCGAGUUGAUCUAGGUCACCAAUUUAGGCUUAAGUGAAUUUUGGAGUAUAGCCUUAUCCUUUGUAUCAGCAUCAAGUAACUCAACCUAGCUUAGAUCAUAUUGGAUUAGAUAGAAUCCAGAUUAGGCUGGUAUGACUAGAUUAAACUAGUUAAGAUUAGCUAGAUCAACCAGGGUAGGAUAAAUAUUAUUAGGAUAUGUUAGAAUCUUUAGAAGUUAGUUAGAUCUAUUAGGACCAAAUACAGUCUUUUUAAGGUAAGAUGAAUCUAUUAAGGUAAUAGAAUAUCCUUUAAGAUAAGAUGGAUUUAUUACACAAGAUUGAAUCUAGGUUAGACUGGUAUGACUAGUUUGACUAAAUAGGAUCUAAUUAAGUUGCAUUAGGUCAUGGUUGCUUAAUCUAGGGUGGAUAAGUAUGCUUUAUUAGGAUAAGAUGAAUCUUUUGAGGUCAGUUAGAUCUAUUAGGCUGAGAUAAAAUCUUUUCAAGAUAAGAUGAGUAUCUUUUAAGAUGAGAUGGAUUUAUUAAGAUAAGGGAGAAUCUUUUAAGAUGAGAUGAAUUGGUUAGAAUGAGAUCUUUUAGGAUAAGAUAAAUCUCUUAAGCUAGAUAUGUUCCAAUGGGGAAUAAUCUAGGUUGUCUAGUUACUUUAUAAAUAUAUUUUUAUACCUAUGUGUAUAUACAGAUGCAAUUGUGGACAUUACUCCACAACCCAUCACACUCAAUCAAAGAUCCAAAUCAGACAGGUAUCAUAAGAACAAACAUUCAAAUAUAUAAACACUCAUAAAAAUAGUUUUGUUUUUGUUCCUAGGAUUAGGUCUCCUAUUCCUAAAAGUCACUUUAGGCAUAGGAUUUCAAAGUGUGAAAUCCACAUUUGUCUUUCAGAAAGAAAAGAUAAGAAUAAUCAGAGUAAAGCGGAAAUAGAUGAGAAAAGAUUAAGAUAAGUUUAGAAAGGAUCAGAGUAGCAAAGGUGAGUAGAUAAUGGUUGUCCAGUUCUAUCUAGGUUUCGUCCUACAGUCAACAUUCCUCUGAUACCACUUCUGUCACACCCGGAUUUUAGGGGUCCAAAACCCGGGGUUAACAUAAACACCAGGUAUGCUGGGACCAAGUCUCACACAUAUGAUGUAUAGUGGCACAGGAUCGAAUGUCACAACAUUAUAUAUCACAGGAGUUCUAUACAAAAUAAAUAAUUACAUUAUAAGGAGACAACGGUCCAGCAACCCAAAGUUGACUGGGAGACGACGACCUAGACCACUCACGAACUCAUCGCUGCAUCUUCCAUGAGCAUCAUCCUGCAGUACCUGGUCUUGACCUGUGGUGUAUGUGAGACAGCAAGAGUGAGCUCACAUACGUUCAUCGCUCAACAAGUUGUGGGGAAUAAUGUGCAUGAACUCGCCAAAGGUGGGAGCUCACGUGAAGUGUAAGGCUUACCAAAGGAGAUGGUUAGAGCUGAGCAUUGCUUUUAAAGUUGGUCAAAAUUUUAUUAGCAAUUACUAAGUAUAAGUAAAUACCAAUCCAAUUAAAUAGUAGAACAAAAGUAACAAACUCACCUGCGAUGCAAUGCAUAUGACAAAUUGAGUUUAAGUUCCAUAAUUUAAUCAUCAGAGAGUCCUGAGCUGCUCAUGACCGUGAGCUCGGCUAGUAUACCAGUUUUACACUCUGCAGAGGUGGUACCCUUUACCCACAAGUCAUGUUACCCAUCUGCCAAGAGAUCGCGACUUCCCAUACACCUCUACCGAGGAGGCGAGGCAGGGUAACACUACGAGGCCUUUACAAAGUUCCACUAGCUUCAGAAAACCCGCUACAGUUUAUAGGAAGCUCCAAUGCAGGAAUCCCUUGCAGGACCGCCAUCACAGCAAAAUCCUCCCGAGGGCCUCCCCAGGAAUCCCUUGCAGGACCGCCAUCACAGCAAAAUCCUCCCGAGGGCCUUCCCAGGAAUCCCUUGCAGGACCGCCAUCACAGCAAAAUCCUCCCGAGGGCCUCCCUACACUGACCACUCCCCUACUGCCCUUGCCCCUUUCGGGUAAGGUAGUCCUCCACUAGCUUUCCUAAUUAGUCAGCCAAGGGCGUCCCAUUAAACCCUUGUGGUGGCACGUGGUUCUCAAGUUAAGCUCUAUGUUCCAAUUAACAUUUAAUGAUCUUGUCAUGAACAUAAAUAGAAUAACAACAUAAUUGGAACAUAGAUGUAAUGAAAUAUUAACCCAAAACCAUAUAAAGCAGUAGCAGAACUACCCAAGUGAUUCAGGGGUAAACAAGGUAUUCAGGACGAACAAACUAGGGUGACCUAUUGGGUCCAAUCAAAAUUAACCUAUGCAGAUCAUUAUGAUUAAUCAGAACAUGAGUGGGUAAAGGAAGUGAUCAAGGGCACAACUUGCCUGGGACUUGAGAAUCCAGGUACCAGGAUGAUCUUCAGGUGACACGUGACCUUGCUCUAGUCAUAGCAAUACAAACAAACAUUGUAUAGGCAAAAUUAACAUUACACCAAACAUAAGUACAAACUGAAUAAUAAUAAUCUACGCAUUGCUACGAGGUCGUAGGAACAAGAAUCACUAAAUUCGGAGUUACAGUUAGAAAGUUAUGGAUUUCUGAAGUUAUUUAGCACAUAGAACAGAUUAAUUCAAAUGAACAAUUUUAAUUCAAGUUUCAUAGCUAAACAGUGUUACUAGUUGAUAUACAAUAUUAAAACAAAAUUAUAGAAACUGGAACGGGUCAAUUCGGAGUUAGAAUGAAUUAAAUACGGAUUAAACAAGUUUAUGGAUUUAUUUUUAUAUAAAAACCUAUUUUCUAAUCCAUUUAUUCAAUUUAUCCUAUCACUGGACUGCGCCUUAAUUAAACAGAAGCGCAGGGGGCUCGGGGAUAAAAUUCCUAAGGCUCAGUCGACAGUGAGCGAGGACGGCGGGUUGAAUAAGAAAAACUGCAGGGGCCUUUGUGUUAAUCUGCGCCCGCGAAGGGGUAUCGCGGGAUCACGGCCGUAGGAUUAGAAAUCUACGACCCGGAUUAGAUCCACCCCGUGGAUAACUGAUGCGCGACCAGCACAGUCAGAUCCCGAUCCUACGGUCCAAAUGGAUCUGGCGCCUAUAUGAGUCUCAACCGAUCGAUCCAAGAUCAACGGUUAACCCCGCCCCGGCCGAAACGUUACAGCCAACCAAUCUCCACCGCAUAGACUCUAUCCAACGGCUAAAACGUGUCCCACCAAGGAUCAAAUCUCAGCCUUUUACGGAGAUCUAACGGUCCAGCGAUCGUCAUCUACCUCGCUCAUCACCCGACCGAACACCCAGCCACGACGUUCGCCAGACACGGCCAAGCCAUUACCGGCCGCACUUAAAGCUCGAGUCCCGCCUAAAAACUUCACUCCAGCCACCGCAAAACGAAGAGCAGAGGCCUGCGAGACUGGUACAGGAGUUCUCACCGUGGAUGGAAGCAGAGCUGACCGGCCGCGGCGUGUGGAUCACGGCGAGGCGCAAUACCCUGGCGUCCAGAAGCUUCCUUCGCGCACGCCCCAGAGAAGAUCCCGAGCGGCGCCCAAAGCCUAGGCGAGGUCGCAUCCGCGGUCGAUGUUGCUGGCUACACGAUUCUCUCCCCUUUCUCUUUCACGGGUAACAACGGGUUUCUCUCUCCCUCUCGCGGGCAACGGCGAUGGUGGCGGACUGGAUAAGGUGAGAAGAAGAGGUCGUGGGGCCCGAUUUAUAGCCCGGGGAACGUGGAUUUCAGGCUUAAACAGAAUCCGUACUAUCCGGUUGGUUACAACUGAUUCCGCGAUUUGAGCGAAGAUUACCUGCGCGCUGACCCAGCAGUCCAUGCCAGCGCGAGGAAGACGGAGAUGGAGAUGGAGACGGAGGGGAUGGAGCUUCGGCUUUAUACCCAAGGAGCGACCCGCGGCCGUUGCACGGAGGCCGAGAAUCCACGGCGAGUUUGGCGGAGUCCGCGCGGCGCGAUCGGCAAGCUGUUGAAGACGAGCCCGACAUGCGGACCCCGCGGACCAGAGAGAGGGAGGGAGGAGCGAGCGCGGGUAAGAGACUGGGCAGGGGCCCCACAUGUCAGCGAGAAAGCGCGGCGCGGCGGGGAGCGAAGUUGGGCCGCGCGGCGGGAUAGGGUUAGUGGGCCGAAUGGGAGGUAUGGCGGCCCAUGAGGCUGAUUUCGUUUUAUUCUUUUUAUUUUCUGUUUUCUUUUCUUCUUUUUUUUCUUUAUUUUCAAACCCAAUUUGAGUUCAAGUUUAAAUUCAAACUUGUGGCAAAUUCACUUUCAGAUUAAUAGUAAAAUUUGGACAUACCUAAGAGUGUGAUGAAUUUAUAACUUUGUUUUGUUUUGUAUAAUAUUUCUUUCUCUCUUUCCUAUUUCCAAUUCAAACCAAGCCAAGUUUUAAAUUCUAGAUUUCAAAUUUAUGCAUAAGUUAAACUUUCACAUGAUAAUUACUACAUAGUGUUUCUUCAUUUAUUUUAUUAUGAGUAUUUACCUUUAAAAAGGGUGAAUUAUAAAGUUUUAAUUAUUUAUCAAUGGUAUUUUGCUCAGAUUUCUUCUAUCAAUCCCAAAUUCAGAAUUUGGGUGUUACAAAACAGUACCUGUCCGGUGUGCACCGGACAUCCAGGCGGGCCCACAAGUCAGAAUCCAACGGCAGUGAUGACGUGGCAGGGGGCACCGGACUGUCCGG